rnacentral:rRNA from 1 species
CCUACGGGAGGCAGCAGUGAGGAAUAUUGGUCAAUGGGCGGAAGCCUGAACCAGCCAAGGCGCGUGAGGGAAUAAGGCCCUACGGGUCGUAAACCCCUUUUGCCGGGGAGCAAGGGCCGGGACGCGUCCCGGCCCGGAGAGUACCCGGAGAAAAAGCAUCGGCUAACUCCGUGCCAGCAGCCGCGGUAAUACGGAGGAUGCGAGCGUUAUCCGGAUUUAUUGGGUUUAAAGGGUGCGUAGGCGGGAAGCCAAGUCAGCUGUGAAAACUACGGGCUUAACUUGUAGACUGCAGUUGAAACGGGUUU